GUAAAUAGCAAGUUGGGAUUUUCAAAAUCAUUGGAGGCUUGGAAUGUUUUGAAGAGCCUAAGAAAGCUGAAUAAACAGAAUGCUAAAUUAGAUAUGAUUAAACUGGAAGAAUGAGUUGUUUAUUACAAAAAUGCUAAACAAAGGAAGAGAAGAAUUUAGGGAAACAGAAGAAGAAAUCUUUAAAAGUACGACUAGUGAGAAAAGAUUGGAAAUUAGUGAUGAAGAAGUAGAAUUGGCAUUAAAAAAGAUGACAAAUGGAAAAGCACUUGGACCGGGAAAAAUCAAUAUCAAAUUUCUAAAACAUUGUGGAAGGAUUAUAAAAGAUCAUAACUAAUGUUUAUCAUAAACCAACUUAUGCCCCUAUUUUUAUACCCUCUUGGGCAAGCACCCCUUUUAAGUACAAAUUAACUGCCUUUAGAUUUCUAUUAAGACGGAUGUCUACCCACUGCUUAAUGCAAGAAGAUAUAGAUAAUGAGUAUAACCUUAUCCUAAAACAGGCAUAUAUGCAUGGAUAUAGCUGUAAGUUUAUAGAAGGCAUCUGCAAUAGCAUACUCCGUACAAAUAGCACAAAUUCUAGUAACCAAACCAUUGAUAAUAUCCAACUUAAAUAUUUAAGUGCAAUUUCAUAUCAUAAUGUUUUUGAUCGUAUAGAUAAGGCCCUCAAAAGACAUAAUUAUGUCCUUCCCUACAGCAAUCGUAACACCAUAUAUAGAUCACUAUGUAAUUACAAACCC
rnacentral:lncRNA from 1 species